UACGGAGGGUGCAAGCAUUAAUCGGAUUUAUUGGGCGUAAAGGGCGCGUAGGCUGGUCUGUAAGUCAGAUGUGAAAUCCCGGGGCUCAACCCCGGAACAGCAUUUGAAACUGCCGUGCUUGAGGACUGGAGAGGAGACUGGAAUUUACGGUGUAGCGGUGAAAUGCGUAGAUAUCGUAAGGAAGACCAGUGGCGAAGGCGGGUCUCUGGACAGUUCCUGACGCUGAGGCACGAAGGUCAGGGGAGCAAACGGG
rnacentral:rRNA from 1 species